rnacentral:rRNA from 1 species
AUUGAACGCUGGCGGCAUGCCUUACACAUGCAAGUCGAACGGUAACUGGUCUUCGGAUGCUGACGAGUGGCGAACGGGUGAGUAAUACAUCGGAACGUGCCUAGUAGUGGGGGAUAACUACUCGAAGGAGCGGCUAAUACCGCAUGAGAUCUACGGAUGAAAGCAGGGGAUCGCAAGACCUUGUGCUACUAGAGCGGCCGAUGGCAGAUUAGGUAGUUGGUGGGAUAAAAGCUUACCAAGCCGACGAUCUGUAGCUGGGCUGAGAGGACGAUCAGCCACACUGGGACUGAGACACGGCCCAGACUCCUACGGGAGGCAGCAGUGGGGAAUUUUGGACAAUGGGCGCAAGCCUGAUCCAGCAAUGCCGCGUGCAGGAUGAAGGCCUUCGGGUUGUAAACUGCUUUUGUACGGAACGAAAAGCCUUGGGUUAAUACCCUGGGGUCAUGACGGUACCGUAAGAAUAAGCACCGGCUAACUACGUGCCAGCCGCCGCAGUAACAC